rnacentral:rRNA from 1 species
AUUGAACGCUGGCGGCAGGCCUAACACAUGCAAGUCGAACGAGUGGCGGACGGGUGAGUAAUGUCUGUGAAACUGCCUGAUGGAGGGGGAUAACUACUGGAAACGGUAGCUAAUACCCCAUACCAUCAGAUGUUCCCAGAUGGGGUUAGCUAGUUGGUGGGGUAACGGCUCACCAGGGCGACGCACCCUAGAUGGUCUGAGAGGAUGACCAGCCACCCUGGAACUGAGACACGGUCCAGACUCCUACGGAGGGCAGAAGUGGGGAAUUGUGCACAAUGGGCGCAGGCCUGAUGCAGCACGGCCGCGUGUAUGAAGAAGGCCUUCGGGUUGUAAAGUACUUUCAGCGGGGAGGCGUUACCCGCAGAAGAAGCGCCGGCUAACUCCGUGCCAGCCGCCGCGGUAAUUC